AACGAACGCUGGCGGCAGGCCCAACACAUGCAAGUCGAACGAGAAGCCACCUUCGGGUGGUGGAAAGUGGCAGACGGGUGAGUAACGCGUGGGAACGUGCCUUUCGGUUCGGGACAACCCAGGGAAACAUGGGCUAAUACCGGAUACGCCCUUCGGGGGAAAGAUUCAUUGGCGGAAGAUCGGCCCGCGUCGGAAUAGCCAGUUGGUAGGGUAACGGCCCACCAAGGCGACGGUCCGUAGCCGGGCUGAGAGGAUGACCAGCCACACUGGGACCGGGACACGGCCCAGACUCCUACGGGAGGCAGGCGUGGGGAGUAUUGGACAAUGGGCGCAAGGCUGAUCCAACCAUGGCGGGGUGGUGAAGAAGGCCCUAGGGUUGUAAAUCCCUUUCAGCGGGGAAGAUAAUGACGGUACCCGCAGAAGAAGUCCCGGCUAACUCCGUGCCAGCAGCCGCGGUAAAAC
rnacentral:rRNA from 1 species